rnacentral:rRNA from 1 species
GUGGGGAAUAUUGGACAAUGGGGGGAACCCUGAUCCAGCCAUGCCGCGUGUGUGAAGAAGGUCUUCGGAUUGUAAAGCACUUUAAGCGAGGAGGAGGCUCCUUUAGUUAAUACCUAAAGAGAGUGGACGUUACUCGCAGAAUAAGCACCGGCUAACUCUGUGCCAGCAGCCGCGGUAAUACAGAGGGUGCGAGCGUUAAUCGGAUUUACUGGGCGUAAAGCGUGCGUAGGCGGCUUUUUAAGUCGGAUGUGAAAUCCCUGAGCUUAACUUAGGAAUUGCAUUCGAUACUGGAAAGCUAGAGUAUGGGAGAGGAUGGUAGAAUUCCAGGUGUAGCGGUGAAAUGCGUAGAGAUCUGGAGGAAUACCGAUGGCGAAGGCAGCCAUCUGGCCUAAUACUGACGCUGAGGUACGAAAGCAUGGGGAGCAAACAGGAUUAGAAACCCUUGUAGUCC